UUAAAUGUAAUUAUUUUAUUAAAUUAUUAAUAGUUAAGAUCUUUAAAAUUAAAAAUUUUGGCGGUAUUUUAGUCUAUUCAGAGGAACCUGUUCUAUAAAUGAUAGUCCACGAUUAAAUUUACUUUUAUUAUUAAUUUAUAUAUCAUCGUAAUAAAAUAUUUUUUUAGAAUAAUAAUAUUUAUAAUUUUUAAUUAAAAAAUUAAUCAGAUCAAGGUGUAGUUUAUAUAAAAGUAGAAAUGGGUUACAUUUAUUUUUAAUUUUAAAUUUUUAAUUUUAUAUUAAAAUGAAAGUGGAUUUGAUUGUAAUAAUAAUUAGUUUAUUAAUAUGAUUUUAGCUCUAAAAUAUGU
rnacentral:rRNA from 1 species